rnacentral:rRNA from 1 species
GACGAACGCUGGCGGCGUGCUUAACACAUGCAAGUCGAACGGAAAGGCCCUGCUUUUGUGGGGUGCUCGAGUGGCGAACGGGUGAGUAACACGUGAGUAACCUGCCCUUGACUUUGGGAUAACUUCAGGAAACUGGGGCUAAUACCGGGUAGGAGCUCCUGCUGCAUGGUGGGGGUUGGAAAGUUUCGGCGGUUGGGGAUGGACUCGCGGCUUAUCAGCUUGUUGGUGGGGUAGUGGCUUACCAAGGCUUUGACGGGUAGCCGGCCUGAGAGGGUGGCCGGCCACAUUGGGACUGAGAUACGGCCCAGACUCCUACGGGAGGCAGCAGUGGGGAAUAUUGCACAAUGGGCGGAAGCCUGAUGCAGCAACGCCGCGUGCGGGAUGACGGCCUUCGGGUUGUAAACCGCUUUCGCCUGUGACGAAGCGUGAGUGACGGUAAUGGGUAAAGAAGCACCGGCUAACUACGUG